CUCUGUGACUGGCUUGCUUGAUGGUUAGGGUCUGAUCGCUGCCUGAGACACCAUAUCGGUACUCCUCAGAGUUGAUGCAGAGUGUUCAUAUGAGGAGAGACUUUCCCUUGUCUCCGUCAUCUGUGAUUUCACUUCCCUGACAGAAGACGAAGCUUCCAUCUCAGAUGUUUUCUUAAAUGAUGAAACAGCAUACGCCUCUGUUCUUGUCAGCUCAGGGAAAACAGAUCUGGGGACCUCUUCAUCUCUGCGUUGGGAAGCAUAGGUGGUAUAAUCCCCUCCUGUCACGUCCAACGUUGCAUAGUCAGAAGCUUCGCCCUUGUAGUUGGUGCACACAGCACGGUGAUCACAGGAUCUGGUUUGCCACUGAAAGGAAUCUUGAUGCUGACCACUUCACCUCGGAGAGCAUGAACUGCUCCCAUGCCUUCAAGAGUUUUAGAUUUUCACAUUUCACACGAAACUCGUAUUCAAGACCUUCAAUAAGGUUUUUCACUGAAAAGACAGUUUCUCGAAUUUCUUCUGUUGUCACAGAAAUCCAUUUAUUCUGCUUCUUCUCACGCUUCUCAAGUGGGUAACCAGGAUGGAACUGCGGUGUUGCUUGCAGGAGAAGCUUACUACUGGUUUCUACUUCUCCAACCUCAUUGGUGGCUAUGCAGGCACUGUCUCCAGACUGUCUAUAUUCAACCCAGUAUCCAAGAAUUUCUUUACCACCAUCACAUUCAGGUUUCUCCCACUGUAGAGUGACACUAUCUUUGGAUAUUGAAAGAAUCUCAAGUUCUCCUGGUUGGCUUGGUUUAUCUGAAAUAUUUUAAAA
rnacentral:lncRNA from 1 species